rnacentral:rRNA from 1 species
UACGGAGGUGGCAAGCGUUGUUCGGAAUUACUGGGCGUAAAGGGCGCGUAGGCGGCUUGGCAAGUCAGAUGUGAAAGCCCCGGGCUCAACUCGGGAAUUGCAUCUGAAACUGCCUGGCUUGAGUCCUGGAGGGGGCAGUGGAAUUCCCAGUGUAGCGGUGAAAUGCGUAGAUAUUGGGAGGAACACCGGUGGCGAAGGCGGCUGCCUGGACAGUGACUGACGCUGAGGCGCGAAAGCUAGGGGAGCAAACGGG